rnacentral:lncRNA from 1 species
UGCCCACCACACCCCACCUGUGGCCUUUGCCGACCAGGACUUUGAAGCUGGGCUGACUCCUGCACGGGGGAGCCCCUCAUCCUCAUCCGGCUGGGCCCCCCACCUCAGCCUCCCAGCCUCACACAGACACAUGUCAUCCAGCUGUGGGCACAAUCCCCCAAACGCCGAAGGGCCGCGGGCCCCCGGCCCCCUCCCUCUGUCUGUCUCUCCUGGCCUCUGACCCCACCCCGCACACCCUCAGGCCACGACCGGACCUCCCAGCUUCGUUAUUCUGCUCAACGCCCAGGCCCUCUGGGCACUCAGGAAUCAAGUGUGUCCAGAUGGCGCAGGCCAGUGAGCACCACGCCCAGGGGACACCCCAGAACAGAAGCUGAGACAGCACCACGGGAACCUUGGCUUCGGGGCGCCGCCUCCUCCUGGCAGUUGCUGCCGCCGGCUGGCGCUCUAUCGCCGCCGCCCAGGGCAUCCGGCCAGCCUCAGGCAGCGCGGCUCCCUCCUGCUGGCCCCGAGCCGCAGCCUCGGCCGGAGCCGGAGCCGGAGCCGCAGACGCAGCAGCACCGCAGCCUCCACAGACCUGGCGUCCUGGUGCCUUCUGGCCCCUCAGCACCAGUGAUUCACACCAGCCUGGAAAAGGAUGGGCUGGGCGCGAUGACUCACCCCCGGCAGGCGGAGGGUCCCACAGGGCCCCAGUCCUCAAACUCAGCUGAGGAGCCAGGAGGGUGACGACAGGUCUCAGGCUCCCACAGAGCCUUUGCUGCUGUGCCUGGAGCUGCCCCCCUCCUCCUGCGAGCUGCCUGCGCCGAGGAGACGAGGGGAUGUUGAGGUCGGCGAGAGGGUGGGCCCGGCAGCGGGCUGCUGACGAAGACGGGCCAGCGUGAGGGCCGGGGCUGCCACGAGGCCUGCCCCGCUGGCCACCAGCCCGCCCGCCCGCCCCCAGGGCCACUGCAGCUGGCGUCGGGGUCUGCUCCUUGGGCCCCAUCUCGCUCCAG